UGAAACUUGAUCCAGUAAAAGCUACAUUGUAUCUGGAGGGAUAACUGGUAUAUUCGAAGGAGCUGGUGAAUUGGUUGUUAUCAUCUGCAGAAAUCUGUAAAUGCUUUGUCCAUUUUGUAUUGAUAUUUUCCUGUAUGAGAUAUUGUUCAGGGUUUUAUGGUGUCUAUAAUUUUUUGGUGAUUUUGUGGCCGCGGUAUCUCUUUAAAAGAUUGUGAUUAUGUUUUGAGGGAAAAUAGAAGUUGCUCUGGAGCCCAACUAGUAUUUGAAUGUUGGGAACGUUUCUCAA